rnacentral:hammerhead_ribozyme from 1 species
CCACUGCUGACGAGUCCCAAAUAGGACGAAACGACCGUCAAGAGC